UACGAAGGGUGCAAGCGUUAAUCGGAAUUACUGGGCGUAAAGCGUGCGCAGGCGGUUUGUUAAGUCUGUUGUGAAAUCCCCGAGCUCAACUUGGGAAUUGCAAUGGAUACUGGCAGGCUGGAGUAUGGUAGAGGAAGGUGGAAUUCCCGGUGUAGCAGUGAAAUGCGUAGAGAUCGGGAGGAACACCGGUGGCGAAGGCGGGUCUCUGGGCAGUAACUGACGCUGAGGAGCGAAAGCGUGGGGAGCGAACAGG
rnacentral:rRNA from 1 species